GACGAACGCUGGCGGCGUGCUUAACACAUGCAAGUCGAACGGAAAGGCCCUGCUUUUGUGGGGUGCUCGAGUGGCGAACGGGUGAGUAACACGUGAGUAACCUGCCCUUGACUUUGGGAUAACUUCAGGAAACUGGGGCUAAUACCGGAUAGGAGCUCCUGCUGCAUGGUGGGGGUUGGAAAGUUUCGGCGGUUGGGGAUGGACUCGCGGCUUAUCAGCUUGUUGGUGGGGUAGUGGCUUACCAAGGCUUUGACGGGUAGCCGGCCUGAGAGGGUGACCGGCCACAUUGGGACUGAGAUACGGCCCAGACUGAUACGGGAGGCAGAAGUGGGGAAUAAUGCACAAUGGGCGGAAGCCUGAUGCAGCAACGCAGCGUGCGGGAUGACGGACUUCGGGUUGUAAACCGCUUUCGCCUGUGACGAAGCGUGAGUGACGGUAAUGGGUAAAGAAGCACCGGCUAACUACGUG
rnacentral:rRNA from 1 species